rnacentral:rRNA from 1 species
UACGUAGGGAGCAAGCGUUGUCCGGAAUCAUUGGGCGUAAAGCGCGCGUAGGCGGCUCGAUCAGUCUGUUGUGAAAGUCAAAAGGCUCAACCUUUGAAUGCCGAUGGAUACUGUCGAGCUAGAGUCCGGAAGAGGCGGGUGGAAUUCCUGGUGUAGCGGCGAAAUGCGCAGAUAUCAGGAGGAACACCGGCGGCGAAGGCGGCACUCUGGGCCGGUACUGACGCUGAGGAGCGAAAGCGUGGGUAGCAAACAGG